GACAGAGGCCCCGAGCGUUAAUCGGAAUUACUGGGCUUAAAGGGUGCGUAGGCGGACCAGAAAGUGCUUUGUGAAAUCCCCCGGCUCAACCGGGGAACAGCGGGGCAUACUGCUGGUCUUGAGGCAAGUAAGGGUUGCGAGAACUGUAGGUGGAGCGGUGAAAUGCGUAGAUAUCUACAGGAAUGCCGAUGGUGAAGACGCGCAACUGGGCUUGUCCUGACGCUGAGGCACGAAAGCGUGGGGAGCGAACAGG
rnacentral:rRNA from 1 species